CACUUUUUUCUGCUUCACUCUGCACGUGAGCCUUGUGCUUGCGCUGAGCAGAGGGGGGAACGGCGGUAGUCACACUCGCAGUAGCACAGGAACAGCGGAAGGAAAGACAGAGAAAGAGAGCCAGGGACAACAACGUCACAUUAGAAAGACCAUGUUUCUGUCAGGGGUCGUGUGCGGAGGCGAGGAAGAGAUGACCCACACGCAGGACUCUUGGUGCAGAAUGAGGAGGUUUAUUGGAAACGGGGACAAAAGAUGACAGGAUGGCUGGCGGAACUUAAUGGACUGGUAGACUAGCUGGCUUACUGAACUGGACACGCGACAGG